rnacentral:lncRNA from 1 species
GGUCAAACAUUAUUCUUGAUGUCUCUGCAAGACUGUUUUGGGGGUGAAAUUAACAGGCAAGUUGGUGAGCUUUGGUGAAGCAAACAACCUUACAUGAUGUGAGUGGUCCUUGUGCCCAGUUGAAGCCGUGAGUAAAACAAAGUCUGACAUAGCCUUGAGCAAGAAAGAACUCUACCUCCAGACAACUUCGGGGGCAGAUGCACUGUGCACUGGAGAGGCAGAGCAUCCUGCCUUCCACAGCCGUGCACACCAGUCCCUGUGCACAAGUGGCCACCCACCCAGCGAAUCGACGUGGUGUGCUUAUCAAAAUCUGUGUGUCUGUGGGCCAGAGCCAAAUCCAGCAGAGCCCCAUCCUGAAUGCCCAGCGGUGCCCACAGCCAGGAGGAGCAUUCGAUGUGUGAUGACUCAUCUCGUGCAUCAGACGCUCUCUAAAGUUCCCACAGAUUAUACCAUGGCUUAGUGAGUGCGAUUCUAAGACAGUUCCAAAAGACUUUUCAAUCCGUGGGAGUUUCAAAGUGGAUUCUCAGACAAACAUGGGGAGGACUGAGGCAGGCUUGGACACGCACAGAAUCAGACAACGAUGGUCCGGAGUUCAAAUCCCUGCAACCACAUGGUGGCUCACAACCAACUGUAAUGAGAUCUGGCGCCCUCUUCUGGAGUGUCUGAAGACAGAUACAGUGUACUUACAUAUAGUAAAUAAAUAAAUCUUAAAAAAAAAAAAAA